CCCCUAGAUGUUCUGGGCCGCACGCGCGCUACACUGAACAGUUCAACAAGUCUUAACCUUGGCCGAUAGGUCUGGGUAAUCUUUGAACGCUGUUCGUGACUGGGAUAGACCUUUGCAAUUAUGGGUCUUCAACGAGGAAUUCCUAGUAAACGCAAGUCAUCAGCUUGCAUUGAUUACGUCCCUGCCCUUUGUACACACCGCCCGUCGCACCUACCGAUUGAAUGGUCCGGUGAAAUCUCGGGACGGCGGCUUGGUCGCUUGCGUCCGACUGCUGAAACUUGAUUAAACCAUAUCAUUUAGAGGAAGGUGAAGUCGCAACA
rnacentral:rRNA from 1 species